rnacentral:rRNA from 1 species
AUUGAACGCUGGCGGCAUGCCUUACACAUGCAAGUCGAACGGCAGCACGGGUGCUUGCACCUGGUGGCGAGUGGCGAACGGGUGAGUAAUACAUCGGAACGUACCUUAUCGUGGGGGAUAAUGCAGCGAAAGCUGUGCUAAUACCGCAUACGCCCUGAGGGGGAAAGCGGGGGAUCGCAAGACCUCGCGCGAUUAGAGCGGCCGAUGCCUGAUUAGCUUGUUGGUGGGGUAAAAGCCCACCAAGGCGACGAUCAGUAGCUGGUCUGAGAGGACGAUCAGCCACACUGGGACUGAGACACGGCCCAGACUCCUACGGGAGGCAGCAGUGGGGAAUUUUGGACAAUGGGGGCAACCCUGAUCCAGCAAUGCCGCGUGAGUGAAGAAGGCCUUCGGGUUGUAAAGCUCUUUUGUCAGGGAAGAAACACCGGCUCUAACACAGUCUGGGAAUGACGGUACCUGAAGAAUAAGCACCGGUUAACUACGUGCCAGCAGCCGCGGUAA